rnacentral:tRNA from 1 species
GCGGAGGUGGCACAGUGGCUACUGCAACCGGUUGCAGCCCGGUUUUUCGUGGGUUCGAGUCCCACCCUCCGCU